rnacentral:tRNA from 1 species
GUUCAGGUAGCUCAGCAGGUUAGAGCAAAGACUGAAAAUCCUUGUGUCAGUGGUUCGAAUCCACUUCUAAGCG